GAAGGUUUAAAGAAUACCGUUAUGAAUCGAACAUGUCAAUCUUGUAAAUUGUGGGUUACUUAAAGGGACUGUUAAGGAAAAAUAUAAUGGGUCCUUUAAAAUUAUAAUUUCGUUCACAGUCCUUAAAAGUCUGCGCCAAGAUUUUAACUCUGGGAAAAUGCCAUUUUGAGUAGUAGUCAAUUAGAAAUAGUAGUUUUAGAAGAUUAUUUUACCCAAGAUCUGAUUCGGUGAUAUUUCUAGCAAUCCUAACCAUCCUGGAGUAUUGAUAUUGAGCAAUCCAGUGUUUUUUUUAUUCUUUUAGAAUCCUUAAUCAUUUGUAUGUAGAGUGCACUGAAACUGGUGAAUUCUUUGCUUAAUUAUAUGAAGAGCUUAUUUUUAAUAAAUGUAUUCCCAUGAAGUCUUAUUGUUGUAUAAGAGAUGAUUUUGUAUUGUAUAAAUUAAUCUGAAUCAAUUCAAGUUUUCAGAUGAAUAGUAAAAAUGUUGCUUUGUUUAAAGCACCCUCAGAGGACUGUCAGGACAGGUAUGUGAAAGUUCUUGAAGAAGAUGGGUUUAAUGUUAUUCUAGUUCCUGUUAUACAGUUUAAAUUUGUUAACCAACAGGAGUUGAGUACUGCUGUUGAAUCAGCUGCCGAGUAUACUGGAAUAGUAUUUACAAGUAAACGAGCUGUGGAAUCUGUAGUAAAUUUACAAAUUGAUAUUCAGAUCUUGAAAGAGAAAGAUAUUUAUGCUGUGGGACCAGGAACAGCUGAUUUUCUUCAGGAUAAGUUUGGAUUUGCAAGUAAGGGUUCUGAAACCGGAUCAGGAGAAGCUCUUGCAAUUUUUAUAAUCGAAGAAAACUUGAAAUCUUCAAGAAACCCGUUUUUACUGUUCCCUUGCAGUUCUCUAUCACGCGAAACUAUGACGACACCUUUAGAAAAUGCUGGAAUACAAUGUAGAAGAAUUAUAAGUUAUGAAACUUCGGAAAAUCAAGACUUGAAAUCCAUCAUGGCUGUCCUUGAACAACAGAGUAUUUGCGCAUUUUUCAGUCCUUCUGGCGUCAAAAGCGCAAUGCCGCAUUUUUCCUCGGAGCACUUGAAAGCGGCAAAAUUUGUAGCAAUCGGUGAAACAACUAAACAGGCGCUAGAAAAUUAUGAUAUAGAUGUUUAUUGUGCUGAAGAACCAACCCCUGCUGCAAUUCUAAGCUUGUUACGAGUAUUUAAUUUAUGUAAUUAGUGAUUCAUCAUAGAAUCAGAUAGAUAUGCAAAUUAAAAAAAAUUUAGAGUUAACAAUCUGUGAUAUAAUUAACUGUUUUACGCGCAAAACUUGAUCUCAGUUGGUAACUGUAGAAUGGUGGAUAUCGGGAUUAAUACUUGAUCCACUCUUUUUCAUAAUCUCAAGAUUAAAUAACGGUUCUUCUCCUCUUGUUGUUAAUCUCUAGAUUGAUUUACCAAUCGGGAUUAAGGAUAUCCUAUUCAAAAGUUUUCAGCUCUGAAGUCAUAUCUAAACAAAUUUAAAAUCUAUCUUGUUACAUGCAGCAAAAAAUAAAUCGUAUUGGUCGGACA
rnacentral:misc_RNA from 1 species